rnacentral:rRNA from 1 species
CAGUAGCCGCGGUAAUACGAAGGGGGCUAGCGUUGUUCGGAAUUACUGGGCGUAAAGCGCACGUAGGCGGACAUUUAAGUCAGGGGUGAAAUCCCGGGGCUCAACCCCGGAACUGCCUUUGAUACUGGGUGUCUAGAGUAUGGAAGAGGUGAGUGGAAUUCCGAGUGUAGAGGUGAAAUUCGUAGAUAUUCGGAGGAACACCAGUGGCGAAGGCGGCUCACUGGUCCAUUACUGACGCUGAGGUGCGAAAGCGUGGGGAGCAAACAGGAUUAGAUACCCCUGUAGUCCCUGUCUCUUAUAU